rnacentral:lncRNA from 1 species
CCGAUUAAAAAAUCAGAUCUAAUUCUCACAUUUUUUUUCCUUUGGGGCAUUGAGUCCAAGUUCAAAUAAUUUUUUUCAACUAUUCUUAAUUAUUAUUUUUUUUCUUUUCUUAAUAUAAUUUAAGCAUUCAUAAAAAAAUUAUUUUUUUCAUUGAAAAGUAUAAAUAUUUAUUAAAAGUAUAUAAUUUUUUUAUUAAAAUAUUAACCACAUAAUAAA